rnacentral:rRNA from 1 species
CGAUAUAACAACCGAUAUACACUUACCAAAGUUUGGCC